rfam:Citrus clementina cultivar Clemenules unplaced genomic scaffold scaffold_6, whole genome shotgun sequence.
ACCGGGCUCAGUAACGCGAGCCUGUAACCAAGUGGGGCAUCAAAGUGUUUGAACGUUGGCUGGACUCUGCAGGUUGGGCUUACUGGGUCUUAAACGGACUCGCCCAAUCCAAGUAAAGAGUGGUCCACGUGGGCUGAGCGAAGGCUUGGCUCGCUUGGCUCCUAAAGUGGAGGGUACAGCGUGAGGCUGGUUUCACAGAGCAGCGACAACCUCCCGCUCUCGUCAGUGGAUGGAUAACGGGUCGGUUCCCAGUCAGUCCGCUCAUACCUGGAUGGUCCCUCUCAAUAGAACAAACACUUUU